rnacentral:lncRNA from 1 species
UUUUGGAUGGAUUAGGAAUAUACUAGGGAAUAUUCUUGGACAAACAAAAAGCACACUCUCUUUCUUCCCUUCUUUUGGAUCAAACAAACACUUUGAAUAUUCUUCUUCACUAAGAUAUGAAGACCAUGGAUGAACAAGAUGAAUAUUCAAGUGUUGACCAAGUUUGACCAACAAGCAAAUGAACGCCAAAUCUGAAUUUUCU